GAUUUAUAAAGAAGAGUGGAGAGACAGGCUCUGUGAAGCUCUAGCAACCUACCUUGGUGUAAGGUGCUAAUUCCUGAACCCAACCGCAUAGUGCGCUGGGGAAUAUAAAUU
rnacentral:ncRNA from 2 species